rnacentral:rRNA from 1 species
GACGUAGGAGGCGAGCGUUGUCCGGAUUCAUUGGGCGUAAAGGGCUCGUAGGCGGUUUGUCGCGUCGGGAGUGAAAACUCAGGGCUUAACCCUGAGCCUGCUUCCGAUACGGGCAGACUAGAGGUAUGCAGGGGAGAACGGAAUUCCUGGCGUAGCGGUGAAAUGCGCAGAUAUCAGGAGGAACACCGGUGGCGAAGGCGGUUCUCUGGGCAUUACCUGACGCUGAGGAGCGAAAGUGUGGGGAGCGAACAGG